GAUGAACGCUGGCGGCGUGCUUAACACAUGCAAGUCGAACGGAAAGGCUCCUGCUUGCAGGGGUACUCGAGUGGCGAACGGGUGUGUAACACGUGGGUGAUCUGCCCUGCACUUCGGGAUAAGCCUGGGAAACUGGGUCUAAUACCGGAUAGGACCACAUUUUGGAUGGUGUGGUGGAAAGUUUUUCGGUGUGGGAUGAGCUCGCGGCCUAUCAGCUUGUUGGUGGGGUAAUGGCCUACCAAGGCGUCGACGGGUAGCCGGCCUGAGAGGGUGUACGGCCACAUUGGGACUGAGAUACGGCCCAGACUCCUACGGGAGGCAGCAGUGGGGAAUAUUGCACAAUGGGCGCAAGCCUGAUGCAGCGACGCCGCGUGGGGGAUGACGGCCUUCGGGUUGUAAACUCCUUUCGCUAGGGACGAAGCGCAAGUGACGGUACCUGGAGAAGAAGCACCGGCUAACUACGUG
rnacentral:rRNA from 1 species